AUUGAACGCUGGCGGCAGGCCUAACACAUGCAAGUCGAACGGAGUGGCGGACGGGUGAGUAAUGUCUGGGAGACUGCCUGAUGGAGGGGGAUAAGUACUGGAAACGGUAGAUAAUACCGCAUACUAUCAGAUGAGCCUAGUGCGGAUUGGCUAGUUGGUGGGGUAAAGGCCUACCAGGGCGACGAUCCGUACCUGGUCUGAGAGGAUGAUCAGUCACACGGGAACUGAGACACGGUCCAGACCCCUACGGGAGGCAGCAGGGGGGAAUAUGGGACAAUGGGGGAAAGCCUGAUCCAGCCAUGCCGCGUGGGUGAAGAAGGUCUUCGGAUUGUAAAGCACUUUAAUUUGGGAGGCGUUACCAACAGAAAAAGCACCGGCUAACUUCGUGCCAGCAGCCGCGGUAAUAC
rnacentral:rRNA from 1 species